AUUGAACGCUGGCGGCAUGCCUUACACAUGCAAGUCGAACGGUAACAGGUCUUCGGAUGCUGACGAGUGGCGAACGGGUGAGUAAUACAUCGGAACGUGCCUAGUAGUGGGGGAUAACUACUCGAAAGAGUGGCUAAUACCGCAUGAGAUCUACGGAUGAAAGCAGGGGAUCGCAAGACCUCGUGCUACUAGAGCGGCCGAUGGCAGAUUAGAUAGUUGGUGGGAUAAAAGCUUACCAAGCCGACGAUCUGUAGCUGGUCUGAGAGGACGAUCAGCCACACUGGGACUGGGACACGACCCAGACUCCUACGGGAGGCAGCAGUGGGGAAUUUUGGACAAUGGGCGCAAGCCUGAUCCAGCAAUGCCGCGUGCAGGAUGAAGGCCUUCGGGUUGUAAACUGCUUUUGUACGGAACGAAAAGCCCUGGGUUAAUACCCUGGGGUCAUGACGGUACCGUAAGAAUAAGCACCGGCUAACUACGUGCCAGCCGCCGCCGUAACAC
rnacentral:rRNA from 1 species